rnacentral:rRNA from 1 species
GGAUGAGCGGUAGAGGAGCGUCGUGUACGCCUGCGAAGGUGAGUCGAGAGGCUUGCUGGAGGUAUCACGAGUGCGAAUGCUGACAUGAGUAACGAUAAGGGGCGUGAAAACCGCCCCCGCCGGAAGACCAAGGGUUUCUGUUCGACGUCAAUCGGAGCAGAGUGAGUCGGCCCCUAAGGCGAGGCCGAAAGGCGUAGUCGAUGGGAAACGGGUUAAUAUUCCCGUACCGGAUGUGAUUGCGAUGGGGGGACGAAGAAGGCUAGGUGAGCCAGGCGUUGGUUGUCCUGGUGAAAGCCCGUAGGCCGAGGAUUCAGGCAAAUCCGGAUCCUCAAGGCCGAGAGGCGAGACGAACAGACUACGGUCUGGAAGUCAUCGAUGCCACGCUUCCAGGAAAAGCCUCUAAGCUUCAGAUCACAUGCGACCGUACCCCAAACCGACACAGGUGGUCAGGGUGAGAAUCCCCAGGCGCUUGAGAGAACUCGGGUGAAGGAACUAGGCAAAAUGGCACCGUAACUUCGGGAGAAGGUGCGCCGGUGGCGGUGACGGCCCUCGCGGCCCGAGCUGCCACCGGUCGAAGAUACCAGGUGGCUGCAACUGUUUAUUAAAAACACAGCACUCUGCUAACGCGUAAGCGGACGUAUAGGGUGUGACGCCUGCCCGGUGCCGGAAGGUUAAGUGAUGGCGUUAGCUCCGGCGACGCGCUUGAUCGAAGCCCCGGUAAACGGCGGCCGUAACUAUAACGGUCCUAAGGUAGCGAAAUUCCUUGUCGGGUAAGUUCCGACCUGCACGAAUGGCGUAAUGAUGGCCACGCUGUCUCCACCCGAGACUCAGUGAAAUUGAAAUCGCCGUGAAGAUGCGGUGUCCCCGCGGCUAGACGGAAAGACCCCGUGAACCUUUACUAUAGCUUCACACUGGACGCUGAUGUUGCUUGUGUAGGAUAGCUGGGAGGCUUGGAACCCGGGACGCCAGUCCCGGGGGAGCCAACCUUGAAAUACCAGCCUGGCAUCAUCGGCGUUCUAACUUGGGCCCGUUAUCCGGGUCGAGGACAGUGUGUGGUGGGUAGUUUGACUGGGGCGGUCUCCUCCCAAAGCGUAACGGAGGAGCACGAAGGUACCCUCAGCACGGUUGGAAAUCGUGCAAUGAGUGCAAGAGCAUAAGGGUGCUUGACUGCGAGACAGACACGUCGAGCAGGUACGAAAGUAGGUUCUAGUGAUCCGGUGGUUCUGUAUGGAAGGGCCAUCGCUCAACGGAUAAAAGGUACUCCGGGGAUAACAGGCUGAUACCGCCCAAGAGUUCACAUCGACGGCGGUGUUUGGCACCUCGAUGUCGGCUCAUCACAUCCUGGGGCUGAAGUCGGUCCCAAGGGUAUGGCUGUUCGCCAUUUAAAGUGGUACGCGAGCUGGGUUUAGAACGUCGUGAGACAGUUCGGUCCCUAUCUGCCGUGGGCGUUGGAGAUUUGAGAAGGGCUGCUCCUAGUACGAGAGGACCGGAGUGGACGCACCUCUGGUGUUCCGGUUGUCACGCCAGUGGCAUUGCCGGGUAGCUAUGUGCGGACGGGAUAACCGCUGAAGGCAUCUAAGCGGGAAGCCCCCUUCAAGAUGAGAUCUCCCCGAGGCCUCGAGCCUCCUGAAGGGCCCAGCGAGACCAGCUGGUUGAUAGGCACGGUGUGGAAGCGCUGCAAGGCGUUGAGCUAACGUGUACUAAUGGCCCGUGAGGCUUGACCAU